GAUGAACGCUGGCGGCGUGCCUAAUACAUGCAAGUCGAGCGAACGGACGAGAAGCUUGCUUUUCUGAUGUUAGCGGCGGACGGGUGAGUAACACGUGGAUAACCUACCUAUAAGACUGGGAUAACUUCGGGAAACCGGAGCUAAUACCGGAUAAUAUUUUGAACCGCAUGGUUCAAAAGUGAAAGACGGUCUUGCUGUCACUUAUAGAUGGAUCCGCGCUGCAUUAGCUAGUUGGUAAGGUAACGGCUUACCAAGGCAACGAUGCAUAGCCGACCUGAGAGGGUGAUCGGCCACACUGGAACUGAGCCACGGUCCAGGCUCCUACGGGAGGCAGCAGUAGGGAAUCUUCCGCAAUGGGCGAAAGCCUGACGGAGCAACGCCGCGUGAGUGAUGAAGGUCUUCGGAUCGUAAAACUCUGUUAUUAGGGAAGAACACAUGUGUAAGUAACUGUGCACAUCUUGACGGUACCUAAUCAGAAAGCCACGGCUAACUACGUG
rnacentral:rRNA from 1 species